rnacentral:misc_RNA from 1 species
UACGGAGGGUCCAAGCGUUGUCCGGAAUCACUGGGUGUAAAGGGUGCGCAGGCGGGGCAGCAAGUCAGUGGUGAAAGCCUACGGCUUAACCGUAGAAGUGCCGCUGAAACUGCUGCUCUUGAGUCCCGGAGAGGCUGCCGGAAUUCGUGGUGUAGCGGUGAAAUGCGUAGAUAUCACGAGGAACACCAGAGGCGAAAGCGGGCAGCUGGACGGGUACUGACGCUCAGGCACGAAAGCGUGGGGAGCAAACAGG